rnacentral:lncRNA from 1 species
CAUCUUCAUGAUCGCUGGCCAGUCAUAUUCAGCGCGAGUAUUACAACGCACUUCACGGCUUAAAAGCAGUUUGUGUCGUCUGAAGAAGGUACUGCAAUAGUUAGUGGGAUCAUCCAGUGUUGGCCACUGUAUGAGGGGUAACGGCACACCACUGCUGAUGCACAUGCAGGACAGUUCAUCACCCCACAUCACACAGCGGGAGCUAUUCAGGAUUUCAGGAGCAUCUGAUAAAACACCACAGUUCUUUCAGGCUCAAUCCCCUCCCAGAACAUGCCCAUUUUGGGGUUCAGGCAAGUCCCUGGAGCUCUGCAAGAUAUCUCUGCCUUUUCUCCAGCUGUGAGCAGUGGGACUUCAAUUGUUGGCUUCUCGUUGGUGGUCUUGUGGCUGUUCAAACCCAUUUCACCACGAGUAUCUACACUACACAAGAAAUCAGAUCCAGUCCUAUAGACUUCCUGAAUUUCCUGAAGAAAUGCCAACUGACCCAGCCGAGGAUCGAACCAGCGACCUUCUUGCUAUGAGGUGAUUGUGCUACCCUCUGCGCCACCAUGAGGCCCAAUUAUUUUUUCAGACCCACAAAAAGAAUUACUCCUAGAUAACGAUCACCUGUAUUUUCUCCGUCAUGGUGUGUAUCAGCAAUAAUAAAGCCAGAAAAUUUUAC